rnacentral:rRNA from 1 species
CCGCAUACGUCCUACGGGAGAAAGCAGGGGACCUUCGGGCCUUGCGCUAUCAGAUGAGCCUAGGUCGGAUUAGCUAGUUGGUGAGGUAAUGGCUCACCAAGGCUACGAUCCGUAACUGGUCUGAGAGGAUGAUCAGUCCCACUGGAACUGAGACACGGUCCAGACUCCUACGGGAGGCAGCAGUGGGGAAUAUUGGACAAUGGGCGAAAGCCUGAUCCAGCCAUGCCGCGUGUGUGAAGAAGGUCUUCGGAUUGUAAAGCACUUUAAGUUGGGAGGAAGGGCAUUAACCUAAUACGUUAGUGCUUUGACGUUACCGACAGAAUAAGCACCGGCUAACUCUGUGCCAGCAGCCGCGGUAAUACAGAGGGUGCAAGCGUUAAUCGGAAUUACUGGGCGUAAAGCGCGCGUAGGUGGUUUGUUAAGUUGAAUGUGAAAUCCCCGGGCUCAACCUGGGAACUGCAUCCAAAACUGGCAAGCUAGAGUAUGGUAGAGGGUAGUGGAAUUUCCUGUGUAGCGGUGAAAUGCGUAGAUAUAGGAAGGAACACCAG